rnacentral:rRNA from 1 species
UACGAAGGGGGCUAGCGUUGCUCGGAAUUACUGGGCGUAAAGGGAGCGUAGGCGGAUAGUUUAGUCAGAGGUGAAAGCCCAGGGCUCAACCUUGGAAUUGCCUUUGAUACUGGCUAUCUUGAGUACGGAAGAGGUAUGUGGAACUCCGAGUGUAGAGGUGAAAUUCGUAGAUAUUCGGAAGAACACCAGUGGCGAAGGCGACAUACUGGUCCGGUUCUGACGCUGAGGCGCGAAAGCGUGGGGAGCAAACAGG